rnacentral:rRNA from 1 species
CAGCCGCCGCGGGAAUACGUAGGGUGCAAGCGUUAAUCGGAAUUACUGGGCGUAAAGCGCACGUAGGCGGAUCGAUCAGUCAGGGGUGAAAUCCCAGAGCUCAACUCUGGAACUGCCUUUGAUACUGUCGAUCUGGAGUAUGGAAGAGGUGAGUGGAAUUCCGAGUGUAGAGGUGAAAUUCGUAGAUAUUCGGAGGAACACCAGUGGCGAAGGCGGCUCACUAGUCCAUUACUGACGCUGAGGUGCGAAAGCGUGGGGAGCAAACAGGAUUAGAUACCCCUGUAGUCCCUGUCUCUUAUAC